UCAGCAGUGAUGUAACUUCCGGGUUACCAUGAGAGGCACCAGUGACCGCAAAGUUUUUGUACCGUGGAAUCUAGACGUGUGCGUAAAGUCUUGUUGGCGUAGCAUUCGACGGUUUCGACGUAGUCUGCUGUUAUAAAAAUGACGGAGCAUUAAGAGGCGACUGUUUAGGUCUAAUGAGGAAAAAAUAAUAUUUCACUACACAAUGCCAUGGCUCUGAGGUCCAUCGCUCUGGAUCGAGAGUCCAGAUUGGAAAUCGUACGAAUUUGAUGUGAAUGGUCCUGAACCCAUUUUUUACGAUUUGGUACCGGAUAAAAAGCUACCUCGUCCGAUGGAGUCUGCUUCAAACAUUAAGCAAAGUAUAAUUUCCAGAGUGAUUGAGGCAGAAGAGCUUCCCUCGUCAGAAAAUAGGAAACCCGUCCCAUAUCUCAUGUGGGACUCCCUCAACGCUUUCAUCAACUACACAGACAUGUACAAAGUAAGAAAACGGCGUGCGCAUCUGUGUUUGGAAAACGAAUCGACAGACACUCUGCAGAAUAGAAACCAGCCGGAAGAAAAAGAAGUGUUUCCGCCCUCUAUAUCGACAACCAUGAAAACUGGUUGUGACCGUAGGCCGACGAGGCCGCUCUCUUUUUCGGAAGCAUUAGCAUCUAGUUGUGAGAGUGCCAACCACACGAAUGCUAACGACAAUAGAAAGGAAUUUCACAAUAAUGAGUGAUAACUAAAUCAAGAGUAAACGAAAAAGAGGGAAUGGGGUAUUUAAUCAUGUGAAAUAAAAUGUAUUAGAAUAAAUACUAUGUAUUAAAAUCUGAUGAUAAUAUAUAGGUACCUAUAGAUGGAAACCUAUAUUUUUAAGCAAUUUAAAAUUUGUUUUAUUUUAUAUGUUUUACUUUAAAUCAUUAGCAACGAUAUAUUAAUAUUAGGGCCUACUGUAUCUAUUAAUUAUAUGUGGCGUAAAUGUAUUGCACUGACUGACAGACAGUAGGCCUAUAAAUCAUGUUCACGCCAUACUUCUCAUCAUUGAUUGAUAAUUAAAUGUUUCGUAUCUAUUAUGUAAAUGCAAAUCUUAUUGUAAGGCAUUUUAAACUGAAUAAAUGAAGACAGAAAUAUUGUUGUUUCUCCAAUAUGUAAAUGAUUUAACUUAUGUUAGUAAAUCAUUAAAACUGGUAAGGUUUGCUGAUGAUACCAGUAUAAUAACGAAAGCUUACGCCAAACGUACAAUGUUAUGGAAAGUGAACUUUCAAAAUUGUCUAAAUGGCCAACAAAUUAACAGUUAAUAUUUAAAAAAACGAAGUAUGUUAUUUUUAGAAAGAAAUAAACCGUAUAAACUAUCACCAUAUAAUUUUAAUCAAACAGAUGUUGCAAAGUUCCCUGGAGUAUUUGAUUGUCACUUUGUUCACCAUAAUUUUUUUUCUCUUAUGGGAGGACAUUUCAAAAAUUCAACUUCAGUGGAAAUUUUCAAGAAGUCUCUUAAAAAAAAGCAUAUUUUUGAAACAUAUUUUUCGCCGUUCGUUUAGGUGUUUAGCCACUCAGCAAACUUGCUCUCACAUCUUAUUUACUUAUUAAAUUGUAGGAUAGGCUAGCUAGAUUUUCACUAAAGCUCCUGUGAAUAUUGUUCCAGCGAGCCCCUAACUUUAGGGGCUUCAAAAUGCUGGAGUACGGAGCAGUGGAAAUGAUUCUUCUUUUUCGUUAUUAGUUUUUUUUUUUUUAUAGUAUUAGGAUGUUUCAUGGUUAUGUUUCUUCUUUUUUUUUUAAUGCAAUGUGCAAAGGGGCAACUUUCUUGUAUUAUGUGCUAUAUAAGACUAUUAUUAUUAUUAUUAUUAUUAUUAUUAUUAUUAUUAUUAUUACAUGUAUACAUAUACAAAAAUACAUACAUGCAUAUAUACAUACACAUUAAAUAAACAUUAACACAUAAGAAAAUUAGGUUUACAAAACAUAAUGUUUAUAUUAUUACAAUUACGUACGUCGACAACCUUCAGGCUGACGGUACAAUUAUGCAUGUACACUUUACAGUUUCAUUUUUUGAGUACCGAUGAUUUCAAUAAAAUAGGAAUAAACAUAGUUAUAAUACACAUAUAUAUAAAACAAGGUGUAUCUGUAUAUAAAAAUACAACCAGUAAAGGCCUAAUUAAAACAAUUAUUAAUUGUAUAUAAAUUUAAUGAAUAAUAGUUCACCAUAGUUCUAACAUUGCUAAAUAUAUUUCAAAAACCGUUGGUGUCAUUUAAAGAUUUAAAAAGUUUCUUCCUACCAAUAUAUUAAUUACAAUUUGCAAUUCGUUUAUACUUCCACACCUAAAUUAUGCAGUAACAUCAUUCUGCACCCCUCGAGUAGUAUAUAUACAUAAAUGUAUACGUAUAUACAUAUAUGUAUAUAUAUAUUUAU
rnacentral:lncRNA from 1 species